CUGGGCAGAGAGCCCAGCCUGCCCGUCCGCCUGCCUGAGUUGGCUCAGCCCAGCUGACCAUGCAGGAGGCCCGGGGCCUUGGAGACAGCUUGAGUCAUCUCCUUGCCAGCAGCUCAGAGUCUGAGAAGGAGCCUUGUGAUGGAGAGAAACCAUGGCAACUAAGGACUGGUCACACACUAUUGCUACCUGGGUGAGCAGAGGACCUCCAGCCCCUGGCAAAUCUGGAGGUCACACAGCUGGCAGACAUCUGUGCCCUGGGGCAUGUUCCAUUUCUCCUCACUUUGCCAACCUCAGCCUGCUGCUGCUGCUACUGCUGGUGGUUGUGGUAGUGGGUAAACCCAGCCCAGGUGGUGAAGACUUACCCCAGUGUGAGAUUCCUCUGCCAUAGAGGAUAUGGCUAGCAGAAAUAAUUGCAGCUCCCUGACUAUCCUCAGCGUUAGGGAUGGCACCUGCUGGUAAGUACUCCCUUUGCCCAGUAAAUGCCCAGUCAGAAGACCCUCUCUGUGGCUAGAACUGGCACCUCUAUCCCUGGCUCCCUCCUUUUCCAGGUGACAUAAUCCCAUUGCAUGGGAGGGUUCUAUAUAUUGGGGUGCAUAUGUUUGGUUGGUAAUAUUCCACUCCUGGUUAAAGCUUGCAAAUAAGAUAAAGAAGGUAGCUUACCAACACCAUCAUACAGGCAUUAAGGUGGCACAGAAGAAGAGAGAAGGAACCCCAGGGAUGCUAACUCCUGUUGCCUCUGUGCCAGGGGAAAGAGAGAUGGCCAAGGGUGAUUGUGGCUUCUGGAUUCAUGUCCAUAAGCUCAUAGAAUGUCAAGGAAUGGAAGACAUCAUCUGAGUGAACUAAUUUUACAGAUGGGGAAACUGAGAUUCAGAGAAGGGAAGUAGGGACUAAGAUUAGAGCACAAGUCUUCUUCCUUCCAGUACAGAAGUUUUUUCACUACAUCCUGCUGGGACAGCUCGUAGUCAUCAAAAUCAUGACAUCAGGAAUGCCUAUCUUUAGCCCCCCUUUAC
rnacentral:lncRNA from 1 species